rnacentral:tRNA from 7 species
GGUCGCUUAGCUCAGCUGGGAGAGCACCUGCCUUACAAGCAGGGGGUCACAGGUUCGAGCCCUGUAGCGACCACCA